rnacentral:rRNA from 1 species
UGGCGGACGGGUGAGUAACGCGUGGGUAACCUGCCGUAUACAGGGGGAUAACACUUAGAAAUAGGUGCUAAAACCGCAUAAGCGCACAGCGCCGCAUGGCGCAGUGUGAAAAACUCCGGUGGUAUACGAUGGACCCGCGUCUGAUUAGCCAGUUGGCAGGGUAACGGCCUACCAAAGCGACGAUCAGCAGCCGGCCUGAGAGGGUGGACGGCCACAUUGGGACUGAGACACGGCCCAAACUCCUACGGAAGGCAGCAG